rnacentral:rRNA from 1 species
CCUACGGGCGGCUGCAGUGGGGAAUAUUGCACAAUGGGCGCAAGCCUGAUGCAGCCAUGCCGCGUGUGUGAAGAAGGCCUUCGGGUUGUAAAGCACUUUCAGCGGGGAGGAAGGCGGUGAGGUUAAUAACCUCAUCGAUUGACGUUACCCGCAGAAGAAGCACCGGCUAACUCCGUGCUAGCAGCCGCGGUAAUACGGAGGGUGCAAGCGUUAAUCGGAAUUACUGGGCGUAAAGCGCACGCAGGCGGUCUGUCAAGUCGGAUGUGAAAUCCCCGGGCUCAACCUGGGAACUGCAUUCGAAACUGGCAGGCUAGAGUCUUGUAGAGGGGGGUAGAAUUCCAGGUGUAGCGGUGAAAUGCGUAGAGAUCUGGAGGAAUACCGGUGGCGAAGGCGGCCCCCUGGACAAAGACUGACGCUCAGGUGCGAAAGCGUGGGGAGCAAACAGGAUUAGAUACCCGUGUAGUC